rnacentral:tRNA from 1 species
AGGAGUGUAGCUCAGUGGUAGAGCAUUCGACUGCAGAUCGAGAGGUCAGUGGUUCAAUUCCGCUCGCUCCCU